rnacentral:rRNA from 1 species
UACAGAGGGUGCAAGCGUUACUCGGAAUUACUGGGCGUAAAGCGUGCGUAGACGGUUGCGUAAGUCAGAUGUGAAAGCCCCCGGCUCAACCGGGGAGGGUGGCUGCAAACUGGGCCUCUUGAGGGCGAUAGAGGAAGGUGGAAUUCCUGGUGUAGCGGUGAAAUGCGUAGAUAUCAGGAGGAACACCGGUGGCGAAGGCGGUUCUCUGGGCAUGUCCUGACGCUGAGGAGCGAAAGUGUGGGGAGCGAACAGG